UCCAGGGUAGCCUAGUGGACAUGGCUUUUGCCCGGUAAGCGGGAAAUUAUGGGUUCGAUUCCCAUCCCUGGAC
rnacentral:tRNA from 1 species